rnacentral:rRNA from 1 species
UACGGAGGGUGCAAGCGUUAUCCGGAUUCACUGGGUUUAAAGGGUGCGUAGGAGGGCAGGUAAGUCAGUGGUGAAAUCUCCGAGCUUAACUUGGAACUGCCGUUGAUACUAUCUGCCUUGAAUAUUGUGGAGGUGAGCGGAAUAUGUCAUGUAGCGGUGAAAUGCUUAGAUAUGACAUAGAACACCAAUUGCGAAGGCAGCUUACUACAGGGAUAUUGACACUGAGGCACGAAAGCGUGGGGAGCAAACAGG